UCCAUUGUGCGGCCGUUGCGGGGGCGGGCGCGGGCGGGAGGCCGUGAGGGCCGGGCCGGGCCCUUUAGCUCCGCCUCGCUCGUGAGGGGGCUCGUCGUGCCGGAGGGCACUGACCGUGAGCACGGACACCGCGGGCACGGGGGCGGGAAAGUGACGAGGGGGCUGCGCCUGAAAGCUCGCUAAGAACUUUGUCAUCCAACUGCUCAGUUAGUGUAACGAGAGAGAUCGCGUCUCCCAAAGCACCUGGCCUGCCUGUGUCCUUGCACCAACACGGCUACAGCCGGAACCCAGCGCACGGCCGCGUGCGGCUACCGCGCAGUAAGGAGAGAAACACUCUGUUUAGGAUCUCGGGAUUUGCCGGUCUUAGAAGCAAAAGCACACCCAACUUUGACGCGCUGCCUAGAAACCAGAGGGUCCUCUUCCUCAUACAAAGGUGGAAAAUAAAAGGUUUUUUUCCCCUUCUCUUCUUGAAUUGCACAGAGGGAGAGCGAACAACUUCCUCCGAGGCCAGUGCCUGCUCUUUGACUCUCCUGACAGAAGUAUACUUGUCAUCACCUUUUCUCUGGAGCCCAGUUGCCUAAUCUCUGCCAGAUGCCUAGAGAGAUUCUGUAUUCACACCUGGACCCAGGACUCUUAGACUUCUGUACUGACUCUAAAAAAUAUAUUAAGAUAACUUUUUAUUUAAUGUUAUGGUUUUUUUUUUCCUUAAGCAGUUAUUUUUGUCAUGCUCAUCUUUAUGAUAUUUAAAAAUAUAUGUGGCUAGGUGGAGACGGAAACAGAUUAACGCUGUACAAAUCUGAUUAAAAUUAUCUGGGCUGUUUCAAAGGUCAGGUGCACUCAAUGAAUUUGCUUUGAAAUUAUUUUGUUUAUUCUGUAUACAUAUGCAUCUUGAGCUCUCUAAAGGUCAGGAGAGGUGCUAGUUUGUGGAAUUUAAAGUAAUAAAAGGUUUGCAUUGUUGGUAACCCUUGUUAAUUACUCUUAAACUAAUAAAAAAUAAAUUCCCAGUGUUCACUUGCUGGUUUGUUUUUCUCUGAAAUUUCUCAGGUAAAAUUAAAAGUCUGAGACUUGCUCUAGAUUAAAAAUGCAUUGAUGAUAUACAUAUAUAAUAUACAUUAUUAUGUGUAUUUACUUUUUAAAUUAUGUUUAUAGCAUCAAUGAGUAACAUUUUUUUCCAGCUAAAAUAACUUAUUUGGAAGAUAUACAAUAUUUAACUGGCUUGAGCCACAUGUGGCUUAAUAAGGUAGGAAAGAAACCCCUAGAAUUUCCAAUAGUCCUGUUCAUUAACAUUCAGGAGGAAUAAUAAUCAAAACCACAAAAGGAUUCAUGUCUGAGUCAGUGAAGCAUGGCUAAUUACAGUUUUCAGCUGCACAACCAAUAACAAUCAGUAAGAAACUGGGCCUCUAUUAAAUACAUAUUUCUGGAGAUUUGGGGAGGGGAGGAAAAAAACUGCACUUGAAACGUGUCUAAGUAGUUUUGUCAUAAAAACAAUGACUCUGUCACCCAAGGCCUUUUCCAUUACAUUGACAUUGUGUUAGCAUUACAGAGUGGUUGAGAUCAUAUUUGCAUUGAUUUUUUUUUAAAUGAUGAAAACAGGUCAGAGAAAUGAAGAGAUUUUCAAGACAACAGUAAUGGCUUCUUACUUAAAUGUUAAUACAUUUGGUAAAGUUUACAUUUACUUUGAAAAUUGUAUCUGUUGCUGAACCUAAUCAGCAGAUUUUGCUCUGUUUAUAGAUCAAAACCGUUUUGACAUUACAUCUUUUCCCUUGAGCUGACUUUGUCUAUUGGGAGAUGAAAUCUGAAUGAGGUAGGAUGUGGAGUUGUAUUACCUGAAUGUGCAGAAAGUGAGGGCCUUACUGAAAGACAGUAUUUUAACACGCAUUUUAUAGGAAGUUUGGACUCUUCUCCCCGUCCCCCCCCAAUAAUGUCAAUAUUAGAUAAUUAUUCUGUGUCCUGUUUAUGAGUAAGAGGAUAUUAAUCUCCUUUAAAGAACUGCAACUCUUUCUCUGGUAAAUAACACGUUUUUUAACUGGAGGGUUAGACUCACUCACAAGAGAUGGAUUCAGAAUAUGUCCACAUGGCAGUGGCAGGAGUGACUGAAGCGCUCAUAGAAAUACCUAAGCUAUCUUAAAAUUACCUAGCCUGGGUAUUGCAGGCAACAUUUCCAUGCUUCUGCAGGAUUUGUGAUGAGCCGUAAAACCUUGCUUAGGAGCUGGGUGCUUGACUAGUCUAUCCACACUGAUGUUGUGGCUAUCCAAUAAUUAUUAAUCAAGCUAGCUAGUUUAAAGUUAGCAGGCGUGUCUGCUAUUUUUUUUUAAUCUCGGUGUUAGUGUUUGCAUUGCUCAUGAAUAUCUGCAGUGCCUGCGUCUUGCUGCUCUUCACAGUUUUUUCCAUCCAUCAACAGUAACCUGUAACGGACACGAAUCUGGUAGGUUUCUUAAUAGCACUAAAACUGUCUGGAGUCUCGCAGAACCUACCUCAAUGCUGCUUGGCAAAAUUAACAGCAGCGGAGGCAUUGGCGCUGUCUUUCUGCAGGCUCAGGAGGAUGAUACUGAGUAAUUUUGGGAUUAUGUUUGGGAAGUUGCCCUUGUAUCUAAAGAAGAAGAGAUGGAUAUUUUUUAUGUGAAAUCUUAAAUUUUGCAGACGUUGAUAUUUCAGUUCCCAGUAGCCACCAUGGAAAGCUUCCAGUUGACACAAAAGCAGUUGUGUUUGGCAAUCUGAUAAAAGGAUUGAAUGAAAUUUAGAAAUGGCGUAGAAUACUGUAAAAUGCUUAGAAACAAAAUACAGCUUACACUAUGAAAAACGUUUAAGAUUCUUUGCAUGCCCUACGUAGGUUAGCCUCUAACGUGUAACAAGGCUUAUGCCAUUCUUCAUCUUUCACAGGUUUCAUAAAUAACUUAUUGUACCAUAUUGUGAUAUCAGCAUGUUUUAUGUCAGCGUCACUUAAUGUGACGUGUUGAUGUGAUGUUUUAUAAGGGGGGUAGGUAAGGACAGCCGUAUGUUUCCGUCAGAUAUACCAUGAUGGCAUGUGUUUACGCUUAGCACUGAAUAUCAGAAUCAGCAGUUAGAGCUUUACACCUAACCUACUAGGGGAAAACCAGAGUAUUAACAUACCUUGAUCUUUGGGAGAAGAUAAGAAACAGUCAUUCUCAGGAGAGGGGCAGGGUUAUGAUUCCCUGGUCCAAAUAAUCAGGCUUAGUUAGAAUUGGAUGCUUUGUCCUGUCAUUCAGCUCUCAUUUUCAAAUGACUUUGCUGGGAGACUGCACCAUGUCAGCUCUUUGCAUUACAGUAUUUAGUAUAUAUACAGCUACCAUGAUAAUACUUGGAGGUUUCUAAAAUUGAUUAGUUAAAAUUUACCUCUUUCUCCCUAAGGCCUAUAACGUACAGCUGGACUUGUGUUUGAUUGUCUGACUUCAGAAAUUAAGGAACAGAAAAAAUGGCAUUCAUAAAGAAAAGUUUGAAAAUCCCAGAAAUCUUUUCUUUUUACAAUCAUGUGGUCUUUGUCACUGGGGUCCAAUCCUGUGUGGUGGCGAGCACCUCUUGAGACAUGAUGAGGACACUUUGUGCUUAACAAGGUCUCUCCAGUUAGGAGUUUAGUAGUUAUUUUAAAGUCAGGCCAGUGACAUCUUUAUAUUUCUCCUUGUCUUUUAACUUACGUGCACAUGCAUGUGUAUGCCAGCGUGUGUGCAUCCUGGCACUCGUGACUGAAUUUGUACUGCUCAAUAUCAUAACUCAUUUUCCUGACACAUCUUGCACUGAAGAGUUCAUCAGAAGGUUACUUUAUAAUGUUGUAAAUUCAUUUUUCAGCAUGGUGAAUCCUUGGGGAGAUUGUUCUGCUGGACAGUUUCAAAUUGGUAUAGCUUUAUAUUUUGUAAGAACAAAAAAGGAAGAAAGGAGCUUAACAUACGUUAUCUUUGAGACCUCAAAACUUGAAGUAGAAAUGACAUUGAAAGCUCAGAAUAUAAAUCCAUUACUCGAACACUAUCUAUUGUUAUUCUUACUGUACGACAAAUUCGGGUACCACUAAAAGUAGUGAGAAUUUUGUGCCAUUAACCACUCAUAUUAGGGUUUUGCGCAAUUCAUUUUCUGCUUUAAUCAGUUAUGAUAUUUCCACAAAGUAUCCUUCCAAUUAUUCAGAUAAGUAGAAUUACUAAAGCUGCCUUCAUAGAAGCUUACUUCUGAAGUAGCAGUAUUUUUUUGAGUUUCAAUAUAUGCAUAUUUUAAUUAUCUUUGCAUGUGCAUUAGAUGUAGUAAGAUGGAACUUCACUCCUUAAAUUGCUUCUGCAAUAAAUCAACAUUUUUUUUAGGCUCAGUCCUGUUUCCAUUGAAAUCAGUGGCAAAACUCUUAACAAGAGUAGAAGUGGACCUACUUUCUGUAUUUGGUAAUUAAAUUAAUAUGAACAUACCAAAGAGACAGUGACUGUUUUGUGCAGUACAGUCCUGCCCAAGCCUCCCACCAGACACCUUCACCCUUGUGAAGAUGAAGGUAGUGUAUAACAUCCCAUUUAAUGACAGAGUCCAGAAAAAUGUCACGGUCUUGUGGAACAGAACUCAUUGAAUCACUUAAUAAGCACAGUAUGAGAGUGUACACACAGGAACGAAAUACUGCAUGUUUUAUGAAAAGGAAACAGCAUGUCUUCUCAAUAUACCAGGCUCAUUACAGCUUAAUAGGAAAAGAAAAAGGAGAAAAAAAAUCUAAGUGAAGUUGUCACCUAACAGCCCAAGAAUUAGAUAGGCAACACUGCUUCCACAUGUUAGAUUGUGUAUCUUCAGUACCUGGUUAUCCCUAAAGUCCACAUGUCCUUUGCCACAGCAAUCCUGGAUCUAUUAGUGGAUGGCUGGUGAGCUAUUAUGAAAAUAGUCUUUAAAUAAAGGAUGCUGCCUCAGUUUUAUGAGCCCUAGCAAACACAAGUUAUUGGGCGAGUGCUUGCAUAGCAGUUGAAUCUCAGUGGACUGGUAUUCAGUUCUGGUGAGGUAGGAAUGCCUUUUUUCCUGAAGGUUGCCUGUGAAUUCUGCAAGUAGAAAGUUUGCAGAUUCACCAGGUUUCCCCUUGUUUGCGUCUGAGGUAUGUUACCAUAAACAUUAAUCAUGUAUGUUAUGUAACAUAGAGGAAGUAAACAAGACUCUUCAAAUAAUCAUUACUCAUUCUGUUCCCAUGCGUUACCUACUUAUUCUGUUCUCUACUUUGGACAACGCACUGAUGGUGGUUUAUGUUGCUAAAUAGAAUGGAGUUUUAGUUGCGUUUCAGUUGGUCUCUUUGUUCACUGUGUAUGGAGUAUAUUUUUGAGAGUUUUAACAAAAAUACUGAAGAAUUCAGACAUAGAGUAAAUUGAUGAUAAUAUUGAAGAUAAACAUAUCAAUCAGAAAAAUAUCUUUAAUAGUGUAGUGUUUAAAUGACUUCUUAUGAGCACUUAAGAUUCUCAUUAGUCCAACAUCAGAAGACUAAUGAAUAUUAAUGUAUAAGAUCAAAGAAAUAUUUAAAAAUCAAAGGAAGUAAACAACAAUUAUACUUUUAAGGAUUAUAUAAUGGACAAGUUUUUAGCUACCCCAAACUUUCAUAGAGUUGGUCACUUAAAAUGCUGACUGUUCUCAGUGGUGGGGCUUUUUUUGUUACCGUAUACAGUAGAGGCAAUUGUGUAAUGCAAACAAAACAGUAAAAUGAAUAAAUGCAUCAAAACCUACAAUAUAUAGAUUAUGCACCUAGGAUAUGAAUUCAUGAUACUAUCAAUGAGUCGGAGAUUAAUUUUAAUAUUUUAAAUACUUACAGAGAGAUUCAAUAAUCCUUCAAUCUACUUCUAAAAUGGCACAUUCUUUGUGAUUAUCAAUGACAAAUGGAAGUUUUAGCUAAGUAGAUUGCAUUAAAUACCUUCUCAGAGUAGAUUUUAGCCUUUUGGGUAAGUUGGUAGCUUCAUAGUUGGCAGUUAGAAAUGUUUGAGUGGAAACUGAAUUCUGCUUUAUAUGAUUAAAUGUAAGAAUGAGAGUGACUUUGCAAAUAAGAGAUUCAGUAACAAAACAAAUGUUUUUUUAAAAGAAUAACAUGCAGAGUUUGAAUGGUAAAAUUUAAUACUGUAUUAUUUAAAAUAUAUUGUUGUUAUAGCUAUCCAUUGGAAACUGGAAUUUUGCUUUCUCAUUUUGUCUGUGGUGUGCUAAACUGUCCUUGUAAAAAUUUUGGAAAGAGGUGGCAGUGACAUCGGCAGUUACGGUUGUGAUAGCACUCCCAUUUUCAUUUUCUUUUUCCAGCAAUAUAUUGUUGAGGUAUGGUGAUCCUCAGAAUAUCCUCUUUUGCGGGGCAAAGUGACAUGCCAUGAUAUGCAAAUGAAAUAUAUUUUUUCAGAGUUUGGCGUGGAGAACUACGGCUGCAUAAUAUCUUAAAAUCUUCUGGUGCUAGUGCAAUCAGCCUGAAGUUGUCUCUAAAGAGGCUCUUUGUACCUUCUUGAUUGGUGUUACAGAAAAUUUUAUGGCCAAGUUUUGAAAAAUAUUGCCUGCUCCAGAUUGAAUAGUAGGGUAGGAUGCUGUUAGGGAGCACAAGCAGAAAAACACCUCCUGUUCUGCACGUGUGCAGAAAACAGCUUUUGCUCUGCACAUGCUGAAACACUAUGUAGAUGCUCUCACGAGAAUGAUGCUCCAUGAAUUGUGUGUGUCACUAUUUGGCCUUUUUUCCAGCUAAGGGAAGACAGUUUAUUCAUGGAGUUGUGUUCACCCCACCUAGGGGGAUGUCUUAUUGGCUUGGCUAGAAGGCUAAUUUAAAUUAACGUACAGGAAGGAGGUGAAAUCUGAGAUACUUCUAUGGGCAUGGCUAUAUUGCGUUGGAUGGUGCUAAGGUGCACAGCUGGGAAAACAUGUCCUCUCUCUGCCUUCGUCCCUUGCACGUACGCAUAUUCGAUUCCAUUCUGCAUAGAGCAUUGGCCACGUACAACUUAAUAGGCCAGGAACCUUGAGGUUCACUUAUGUACACAGUUUCAGUAAAUGUAUAAUGUUCAAGACUGUGGAUUUUGAAGAAAAGCAAUUUUAGAUGUGAAUGAAUAAGGGCUUUCAUGAUCACAUAUCAGAGCAGGGUCAGAACCAUCUUCAUCUUAACAUCCGUUGUUAGAGAAAUAAUUUACAAGUCAUGAUUGUCAGCUGCCUGUACAAAAUGACUCGGAGGUGAACAAAUGCAAACCAGUAAUGUUAUGGGGUAGAAUUGUUUGCUCUUGCUGUAGUAGCAUAAUGGAAAUACCACCUGUACGGUGAAUUGAUGUCAUUGGAAUAAAGUUGAUUUUUCAAAUAAAAUGUAUCAGUCCUUCUUGUGCAUUUAUUAUAAUGCAAUCAGUAAUUCCACUGUAAUGUAAUAAAAAAAAGU